GAUGAACGCUGGCGGCGUGCCUAAUACAUGCAAGUCGAGCGAACAGAUAAGGAGCUUGCUCCUUUGACGUUAGCGGCGGACGGGUGAGUAACACGUGGGUAACCUACCUAUAAGACUGGAAUAACUCCGGGAAACCGUGGCUAAUGCCGGAUAACAUUUAGAACCGCAUGGUUCUAAAGUGAAAGAUGGUUUUGCUAUCACUUAUAGAUGGACCCGCGCCGUAUUAGCUAGUUGGUAAGGUAACGGCUUACCAAGGCAACGAUACGUAGCCGACCUGAGAGGGUGAUCGGCAACACUGGAACUGAGACACGGUCCAGACUCCUAGGGGAGGCAGCAGGAGGAAAUCUGCCGCAAGGGGCGAAAGCCUGACGGAGCAACGCCGCGUGAGUGAUGAAGGUCUUCGGAUCGUAAAACUCUGUUAUUAGGGAAGAACAAAUGUGUAAGUAACUGUGCACGUCUUGACGGUACCUAAUCAGAAAGCCACGGCUAACUACGU
rnacentral:rRNA from 1 species